GACGAACGCUGGCGGCGUGCUUAACACAUGCAAGUCGAACGGAAAGGCCCUGCUUUUGUGGGGUGCUCGAGUGGCGAACGGGUGAGUAACACGUGAGUAACCUGCCCUUGACUUUGGGAUAACUUCAGGAAACUGGGGCUAAUACCGGAUAGGAGCUCCUGCUGCAUGGUGGGGGUUGGAAAGUUUCGGCGGUUGGGGAUGGACUCGCGGCUUAUCAGCUUGUUGGUGGGGUAGUGGCUUACCAAGGCUUUGACGGGUAGCCGGCCUGAGAGGGUGGCCGGCCACAUUGGGACUGAGAUACGGCCCAGACUCCUACGGGAGGCAGCAGUGGGGAAUAUUGCACAAUGGGCGGAAGCCUGAUGCAGCAACGCCGCGUGCGGGAUGACGGCCUUCGGGUUGUAAACCGCUUUCGCCUGUGACGAAGCGUGAGUGACGGUAAUGGGUAAAGAAGCACCGGCUAACUACGUGCCAGCAGCCGCGGUGAUACGUAGGGUGCGAGCGUUGUCCGGAUUUAUUGGGCGUAAAGGGCUCGUAGGUGGUUGAUCGCGUCGGAAGUGUAAUCUUGGGGCUUAACCCUGAGCGUGCUUUCGAUACGGGUUGACUUGAGGAAGGUAGGGGAGAAUGGAAUUCCUGGUGGAGCGGUGGAAUGCGCAGAUAUCAGGAGGAACACCAGUGGCGAAGGCGGUUCUCUGGGCCUUUUCCUGACGCUGAGGAGCGAAAGCGUGGGGAGCGAACAGGCUUAGAUACCCUGGUAGUCCACGCUGUAAACGGUGGGUACUAGGUGUGGGGUCCAUUCCACGGGUUCCGUGCCGUAGCUAACGCUUUAAGUACCCCGCCUGGGGAGUACGGCCGCAAGGCUAAAACUCAAAGGAAUUGACGGGGCCCCGCACAAGCGGCGGAGCAUGCGGAUUAAUUCGAUGCAACGCGUAGAACCUUACCUGGGUUUGACAUGGAUCGGGAGUGCUCAGAGAUGGGUGUGCCUCUUUUGGGGUCGGUUCACAGGUGGUGCAUGCCUGUCGUCAGCUCGUGUCGUGAGAUGUUGGGUUAAGUCCCGCAACGAGCGCAACCCUUGUUCACUGUUGCCAGCACGUUAUGGUGGGGACUCAGUGGAGACCGCCGGGGUCAACUCGGAGGAAGGUGGGGAUGACGUCAAGUCCUCAUGCCCCUUAUGUCCAGGGCUUCACGCAUGCUACAAUGGCUGGUACAGAGAGUGGCGAGCCUGUGAGGGUGAGCGAAUCUCGGAAAGCCGGUCUCAGUUCGGAUUGGGGUCUGCAACUCGACCUCAUGAAGUCGGAGUCGCUAGUAAUCGCAGAUCAGCAACGCUGCGGUGAAUACGUUCCCGGGGCA
rnacentral:rRNA from 1 species